UGCAGAGUCGACAGAGACCAGAGACACAUGAUGGACCGUCUGACAGCACUACUGCUUGUGCUCGGCCUGACAGGCGUCAGCGGUCAGUCACUGGGUGAAUCGGACCCAGCGGUUAAAAGACCCGGAGAAUCCCACAGACUGACCUGCACGACCUCUGGGUUCACGCUCAGCAGCUUCUGGAUGGGCUGGGUCAGACAGGCGCCUGGGAAGGGGCUGGAGUGGGUUUCCACUGUGAGAAACGAUGGUGGCAACAGCUACUACGCUCAGUCGAUCCAAGGCCGGUUCACCGUCUCCAGAGACGACGGCAGACAGCAGGUGUUUCUGCAGAUGAACAGUCUGAAGACGGAAGAUUCUGCCGUUUAUUACUGUGCUCGUCACCCACAGUGACUGGAGUUGGUGGAG